CCUACGGGCGGCAGCAGUGGGGAAUAUUGCGCAAUGGGCGAAAGCCUGACGCAGCGACGCCGCGUGAGGGAUGAAGGUCUUCGGAUCGUAAACCUCUGUCAGCAGGGAAGAACGGUCACUGUGCUAAUCAGCAGUGAAUUGACGGUACCUGCAAAGGAAGCACCGGCUAACUCCGUGCCAGCAGCCGCGGUAAUACGGAGGGUGCGAGCGUUAAUCGGAGUUACUGGGCGUAAAGCGCUCGUAGGCGGUAUGACAAGUCAAGGGUGAAAGCCCCGCGCUCAACGUGGGUACGGCCAGUGAAACUGGAAAACUGGAGUGUGAGAGAGGAUAGGGGAAUUCCAGGUGUAGCAGUGAAAUGCGUAGAUAUCUGGAGGAACAUCGGUGGCGAAGGCGACUAUCUGGCACAUAACUGACGCUGAGGAGCGAAAGCGUGGGUAGCAAACAGGAUUAGAUACCCUGGUAGUC
rnacentral:rRNA from 1 species